ACCACCACCGCCACCUCCAAACCAGCCUCAACAGCCACAAAGCAUGCCGCAACAAGAAAUCAGCUACCUCGCUGAUCUACAGAGGAUAGACCCGUACGAUUUCCCGACAAAUGGUUGCCUAUGCACAGUUACCAUUGCCAGGCUCAUCGCAGAUGUGCCCUGGUGGUUUCCAUCAUGCACUAGAUGUGGUAAGGCGUGCACUGCAGAAGGGAACACAUUUAGAUGCUAUCAAUGUGACUGCUCAAACUACAAGUACAAAUACAAGCUCUCUUUUAUAGCAACUGAUGGCACCGCAGAAGCAGAAAUGAUAUGUUUUGGACCUGUUGCUCAGCGCAUUGUUGGGAGAAGUGUUGAUUCAAUGAUGAGAACUGUCAGGCGUGAUGAGGACUUCCCACUAGACAUUGCAGGAAUUGUCUCUCAUAAGUUCACAUUCGCGAUCAAUAUGACGAGCCAGAGUUUCUACACGCGUAUCAAGAAGUACAUGGUCACCUCAAUAAUCACUUCAUAUGGACGACAACGAGCUAUUCCUCACCUUCCUGCACCUGCUCCUGCUGCCCAGCCAAGUGAGCAUUGAAGGGACACCACAUCUGGUACCAGCAGAACCUUAGACAAACAUGCUUUGAACAUCGUCUCUGAAUUAGCUUCCCAGCACCAGACUCCUCCAGCAAGCCCAACAACUGCUGAAACUCCGGCUAAAGAAAUGCCGAUUCGCCAUGUCACGGAAUCCACUUCUUCUCAGUCUGUGAAGAAAAGAUUAACAUACGACGACACAACCGACGAUGAGGUAGCUUCACACUCUUCUCAAGCACAUGAGGGGGAACAUGACUUACCUAAACGGUCAAGGACCACUAAAGAAAAAGCUGCUGCAGAAACAUCUAAGCAGACUUCCUCAGCCCACACAUCUCCUAAAAGGUCCUCUGACGACAACCCAAAAUCAUCAGGCACCAAAGGUUCCGAGGCAAAGACCCUACGUUCUCACAAGAACAAAUAACUGGUGCACUACUGAAAGCCUCACUUCCACUGUAUCAUCCUCCAUCGGAUCUGUGAAAUUACUACUACAUCCACAUACCUCCUAGUGACGAAAAGCUGCUCGCACCUACAGUCUUUUGUUGGAGUGCGCAAACUCCUGUGUAAAUAUUCCUAACAGCUUGACAACCCACAAAUAAAUGUGUGUUGCUGUAGAGCAAUCUAGCCCAGCAGGGAUGUCACCUCCUUGCUUGCAUAUUA